rnacentral:rRNA from 1 species
GAUGAACGCUAGCGGGAGGCCUAACACAUGCAAGCCGAGCGGUAGAGAUCUUUCGGGAUCUUGAGAGCGGCGUACGAGUGCGGAACACGUGUGCAACCUGCCUUUAUCUGGGGGAUAGCCUUUCGAAAGGAAGAUUAAUACCCCAUAAUAUGUUGGAUGGCAUCAUUCGACAUUGAAAACUCCGGUGGAUAGAGAUGGGCACGCGCAAGAUUAGAUAGUUGGUGAGGUAACGGCUCACCAAGUCUGCGAUCUUUAGGGGGCCUGAGAGGGUGAUCCCCCACACUGGUACUGAGACACGGACCAGACUCCUACGGGAGGCAGCAGUGAGGAAUAUUGGACAAUGGGUGAGAGCCUGAUCCAGCCAUCCCGCGUGAAGGACGACGGCCCUAUGGGUUGUAAACUUCUUUUGUAUAGGGAUAAACCUACUCUCGUGAGAGUAGCUGAAGGUACUAUACGAAUAAGCACCGGCUAACUCCGUGCCAGCAGCCGCGGUAAUACGGAGGGUGCAAGCGUUAUCCGGAUUUAUUGGGUUUAAAGGGUCCGUAGGCGGAUCUGUAAGUCAGUGGUGAAAUCUCACAGCUUAACUGUGAAACUGCCAUUGAUACUGCAGGUCUUGAGUGUUGUUGAAGUAGCUGGAAUAAGUAGUGUAGCGGUGAAAUGCAUAGAUAUUACUUAGAACACCAAUUGCGAAGGCAGGUUACUAAGCAACAACUGACGCUGAUGGACGAAAGCGUGGGGAGCGAACAGGAUUAGAUACCCUGGUAGUCCACGCCGUAAACGAUGCUAACUCGUUUUUGGGCUUUCGGGUUCAGAGACUAAGCGAAAGUGAUAAGUUAGCCACCUGGGGAGUACGAACGCAAGUUUGAAACUCAAAGGAAUUGACGGGGGCCCGCACAAGCGGUGGAUUAUGUGGUUUAAUUCGAUGAUACGCGAGGAACCUUACCAAGGCUUAAAUGGGAAAUGACAGGUUUAGAAAUAGACUUUUCUUCGGACAUUUUUCAAGGUGCUGCAUGGUUGUCGUCAGCUCGUGCCGUGAGGUGUUAGGUUAAGUCCUGCAACGAGCGCAACCCCUGUCACUAGUUGCCAUCAUUAAGUUGGGGACUCUAGUGAGACUGCCUACGCAAGUAGAGAGGAAGGUGGGGAUGACGUCAAAUCAUCACGGCCCUUACGCCUUGGGCCACACACGUAAUACAAUGGCCGGUACAGAGGGCAGCUACACAGCGAUGUGAUGCAAAUCUCGAAAGCCGGUCUCAGUUCGGAUUGGAGUCUGCAACUCGACUCUAUGAAGCUGGAAUCGCUAGUAAUCGCGCAUCAGCCAUGGCGCGGUGAAUACGUUCCCGGGCCU